rnacentral:tmRNA from 1 species
GGGGGUGUUUUGGUUUCGACAGAAUAGAUCUUUGAAAUAAGGCGCGAGUCGAGGAGCUGCCCGGCCUCGUAAAAAGGCAGAAAACAAUAAACGCUACAACCGUUUUUGAAUUUGACUUCGGUCAUAACCAAGCUGUAGCUGCUUAAUUAAGUCAGUUGCCCAUUUUCUAGUCGAUGUUGGCUAGCUGGAAAAUGAUUUUAGCCAUCUAGCCUAGUUUGUCUGAUAAGCAAAUUAGUGUGAAAUUGAUUAUCUCGCGAUACGUUAACCCUGUUGUUGGGGAUGCGUAUCGUUAAAUUUAAACAGCAAACACACUCGUAGUGGCUUAUUUUUAAGCUGUUUUGGACACCGGUUCAAUUCCGGUCACCUCCACCA